rnacentral:snRNA from 1 species
AUAUUGGUGCAGUGGCAGUAUUGUAGCCAAUAAGGUUAAUCCGAGGCGUGAUUAUUGCUAGUUGAACAUUUUUCUCUUUGCUUGGGUCUUCAGCAUUACAGUCUCUCUUUCUAUCACCAGGUAUUGUUUGAGUCCUCAGGCAUCUGCAAUUUUAUCUAAA